GUAGAUAACCUGCCCCUUAGUUUGGGAUAACCUCGGGAAACUGGGACUAAUACCGGAUAUUAUCUUUGCACGGCAUCGUGCGGAGAUGAAAGAUCUUGAAUCGCUGAGGGAGGGGUCUGCGUACUAUUAGGUAGUUGGUGCGGUAACGGCCCACCAAGCCAUUGAUAGUUAGCUGGUCUGAGAGGAUGAUCAGCCACACUGGGACUGAGAUACGGCCCAGACUCC
rnacentral:rRNA from 1 species